rnacentral:lncRNA from 1 species
GCCAGAGAGUGGUGGAGCCAUGCGGAAUCUAUUGCAGAGAGUGGAGUAGGGUAGUGGCCAUUGUCGUGACUUGCCAGAGAGUUUGGAUCUGUCGGCUGGAGCUCGGUUGGGAUGUCUGAUGGAGCAAAAUGGCUCUUUAUUCCAUCGAUCUAGGAGAAGCUCGGAUAUUUCUGAGGUUGCUGAUGAGUCUACUAUUGUCGGAUGCCUCAGGCACUAAUGCUACAGGCAGGAGUCAUCUGUUGUAGAAGCUCAGAUGGAGACUUUCUGUUGGUGAAG